GGGGGUGUAUUGGUUUUGACAGCGUAGCUCUUUGAAGGUGUAAGCAUGCCGUGCGUUGGAUAAUUAGCACGUAAAUCUGAAUAUUCAAACUACAAAUGGCAAUACUCAGUAUGCCAUGGCUGCCUAAUCAGUGAUUAAGUAGUCAUUUGGGCCGCGUUGAGCAGGUUGGUCUGUUACCAAGCUCCGCCGCCGACUCAACAAACAAAACAGGCUGCUGUAACCGAAGGCUGUGACGGUUGCAAAAGACUAUCCAGCUAAGAAGAAGAUUGGUUUGUUGUUCCCCUGUUUUCUUCCGACAAUUAAUGAACAAAUAAGCAUGUAGAAAGCUUUUGAAGAAUAUGUUUGGACACCGGUUCGAGCCCGGUCACCUCCACUU
rnacentral:tmRNA from 1 species